AUAACAUUGAAAAUACACUUCUCUGCACAGAAACAAGUCGACUUUGUUUGUUUGUUUGGUUGGUUGGUUGUGUGUGCGUGUGCGUGCGUGCGUGCAUGUGUGUGUGUGCGUGUGUGCGCGCGCUUGUGUGUGUUAGUCUCCCCUUUGUACAGCCUUCAUGAAUGAGAGUCACUGAGACAGGACAGUCCAACCAAAUCAUUUAUGUUCUCCAUCAUCCUUCCCGAGACUGUCAAAAAAAGUUUGCGCUUACUCUCAAGAUCACGCGCUCCAUAAUGUCCGGCACCGAGGAGUCAAAAUCAAAAGAAGUGAAUCGACGUCCUGCGUCGUUUUCUUUUCUUUUUUUUUCCGUCCGAGGUCGUAUUUUAACAAAGGAAAGUAAACUUGGUCGGGCACCUAACCUGUAGAGGGAAUCCACAGGGCCCCGGACUACACAGGCUGAGAGCUCUGGGGUGGAAAGUGACAUCAGAGAGGCCAUGAAAGAGAUCCAUGAAAGCAGAAGCGGCAGAGUCGAGUUCCUCUGAGGGACAGAAGGAACAUUUCAAAGCAGCCAUCUCAUGGUUACAAGGCCUCAUGAAGUCACCCCUUUUAUAAUAAAGACCAGCAUGGCAGUGACAUAAUAGAGGGAUUGGGGUUUGAUUCCUGCCUCCUCCCUUUGUGUGCAGAGUUGGCAUGUUCUCUCCAUACUUCGGGGGUUUCCUACAGGUACUCUGGUUUUCUCCCCAUUCCAAAGACUAAACUGUGGGUCCAAAGUAGGCUGAUUGGCAUUCCCUAUUUGUCCAUAGUGUGCGAUUGUGCCCUGUGAUGGGUUGGCACCCUGUCCAGGGUAUCCCCUGCCUUCCCAACCUGCCCCACCCCUUCCCACACCACAUGAGUGCAGCAAAAAGGUCUCCUUUACCAACAAACAUCACUGUGAAAGAUCUUGCAAAACAAUUUUGUGUAAUUGCAAUUUCACCAUUUUAAGUAGUUUUAUAGAAAAAAAACCCCUCAAAUUUUGAAUAAAGUCACAGCAAAAUCAAACAUGUUUGGCCGCAACAAUCACAGAAAAAAAAGAAAAAAAAACAGCGAAAUCUUGUGGUUUAGUGGUGUGAAUAUAGUUUUAGAUUUAGGGCUAUGAGUGCUUUGAAAAAAUACAAUUCUAUGCAUUACCUGAAAAAGACAUAAAGUAAAACAAAGCAUUGUGUUGUUCAAGCAGGUCAACUACAGACCUACAAACAACUACAGAUAGUUUUUCAAAUCAAC
ensembl:lncRNA